rnacentral:rRNA from 1 species
GUCGGCGGGGUAACGGCCCACCGAGCCUACGACGGGUAGCCGGCCUGAGAGGGCGACCGGCCACAUUGGGACUGAGAUACGGCCCACACUCCUACGGGAGGCAGCAGUGGGGAAUAUUGCACAAUGGGCGCAAGCCUGAUGCAGCGACGCCGCGUGCGGGAUGACGGCCUUCGGGUUGUAAACCGCUUUUGAUCGGGAGCAAGCCUUCGGGUGAGUGUACCUUUCGAAUAAGCACCGGCUAACUACGUGCCAGCAGCCGCGGUAAUACGUAGGGUGCAAGCGUUAUCCGGAAUUAUUGGGCGCAAAGGGCUCGUACGCGGUUCGUC